rnacentral:lncRNA from 10 species
GAAGUGAGCAGGGCGAGGCGCGGGCGACAGCGGGGCGCGAGGCCCGUGCAUGUGUGUGCGCACGGAGGUGGGGAGACGGUGAUCCCCGCCCGCCCUGCGGAAGGCCCGGCGGUUCUACCACCCGGCAGCUCGGCCAGCCCCGAGUCGCGUGGGGGCGGAGCUGCCCGCGGCCACCACUUCCUGAGUGCCGGGGAUACCCUUCCCGGACGUCACGGAGGAGCCGAGGCGGCGGUGGCGGCCCGGGGCUCAUCCUGCACUUGCAUCACGGGUGCAGCAGCAGCUGCUCUGCUCCUUUGUGGCUUUUUGCCCCGUUGAGUAACUGCUUUGUUAACUGAAAAUACCAUGACGGGCCAGUGUGAUCACCAGCUCCAGAUCUCAAAGAAAGUGAAGCUGUCAGGCAAGAAGAGGGAGACUCCCCCAGCCGGCUGCGAUGGUAUCUGGUGGGUGGAUGUGUAGAGAAGCACUUGACAGUUUCCACGUAUUACUUCUUGCCUAACUCUUCACCCCCAAGAAGAUUUAAAAAUACUUUUAUUUCCAUGCUGUAAAAAUUUCAUUUGUGUUCUGCACCUCCCUCACCCCCCUAAUCCUCCUUCAAUUAAAACUCUCAUGUAGAACUGGAAUCACUGUAAGCAGGAACCCUAAAAUUAGGUACAGUUUUUAGGAAACAUGACAUCUUUCAAUGAAUUUAUUCAAUAAACUACAUUUUCUAAAUGUUAAUAUGUAUGAAAGGUCCUUGCCCACUCAGGGUUGUUAUAAAGCUGCUAAAUUGUUCAUAUGAGUUGGGCUCCAGUGACCGUUUCAAAGCAGUAUCCUUGUUUACCUAAAUUUAAAACAAAACAAAACAAAAAAACUCUUCUCCCUGGCUGAGAACCUCCAAGCAAAGUUUCCUCUCUUUGAGUGGGUGUGUCUUCUGGACCUCUAUCUUGGUUACUUCUGUGCAUCCUCCUCCCUUCUCCCCUCCACCUUCCUUUACAUCCUUUUCUGUUUUUUACAGCCUCACUCCUUUACAUCCGUUCCUUCCUUUACAUCCUUACUCCUUUACAUCCUUUUCUUCCUAUCAAGUGGCCAAUAUCUGUUCCUGGACUGCUCUGUUAGACUGAGGGCUGUUGUCUGACCUCCCUGAGCCAAUCAACUGUUCGUGGCUCAGUGCUUCUCGGGGUAGGAAGGGGGACUGACUGCUGGAGAGGUCACUGAGUGGCAGCCUUUUGAAACUCAAAUGGAAAUUCAUGGAAGCAGAGACACAGCUGUCUCGUAGACGGAGACACCAUCCUCUGCUUAAUCCUAUGUCCCUAAACGUAUGCUGUUCUUUAGGUGACCCAAACAGAAUUAGUUUUUCUCGAGUCUUUUUUUUUUUUUUGAAUUAGUAUCUACUGCUCUAUUCCUUUUCAAAAGUCGGAUU